ACUCCUACGGGAGGCAGCAGUGGGGAAUCUUGGACAAUGGGGGCAACCCUGAUCCAGCCAUGCCGCGUGAGUGAUGAAGGCCUUAGGGUCGUAAAGCUCUUUCGCCUGUGAUGAUAAUGACAGUAGCAGGUAAAGAAACCCCGGCUAACUCCGUGCCAGCAGCCGCGGUAAUACGGAGGGGUUAGCGUUGUUCGGAAUUACUGGGGCGUAAAGCGCGCGUAGGCGGAUUAGUCAGUUAGAGGUGAAAUCCCAGGGCUCAACCCUGGAACUGCCUUUAAUACUGCUAGUCUUGAGUUCGAGAGAGGUGAGUGGAAUUCCGAGUGUAGAGGUGAAAUUCGUAGAUAUUCGGAGGAACACCAGUGGCGAAGGCGGCUCACUGGCUCGAUACUGACGCUGAGGUGCGAAAGUGUGGGGAGCAAACAGGAUUAGAUACCCUGGUAGCGACUGA
rnacentral:rRNA from 1 species